UGUGACUUGUAUCGUAGGUACAGUAGGUGGCGUGAUAGCUCACAUCCAAUUACAUUGUUCUUCCGUAUCCCACUGUACGGUAUGUCGUUAUAAGUUGUUGCAUGUGUUACAGUUUCAUUUAUUUAUUUUGAUUUUUUCCAGGCUGUAUCGCUUUCUAUUGACAAACACUGUGGUUAAUUACUCUUAACGUUUCCUGCUGUUUACAGUACUUUAGUAGAUGAUGCAUAUUUUACAAUUCAUUUGCGUCUUUCAUUCUGUUUGGCUUUGCUCUGCAAUAAAAGAGAUAUUAACCACUUACACCUGUGAAAGUGGCAUCAGGACCCAGGUUGCUUCCUGGACCGAUUCCAGAAGAGAAUGUCAUCAAACAUGGACCAUGGCUAAGAACAACCAAGUUAUUGGGGAAUAUGAGGAAAAUGGGCAACCAGGAUGCAUCCUUCCAUGUAAAGACCUACAGUCAGGAAAAAUUAAGAUAGAUGAUUGCGUGGAUCUGGAACUUACAGUGGUCUGCACUUCAGAUGAACCCAACUCUGACAAGGUAAAGACAAUUUAUGUAUGUAAACGUAAUCUACUGUAUGCACUUAUGUAUCAUGUUCUACAUACUCUAUAGGUGUGAUAUACUGUAAUAAUUUACUAUCCUGCUUUAUAAUGAUAUAAAUAAUCUUUUUAAAAAUAAAACUAAGUUCGUCUGAAUGGUAAAUUCAUUGGUUUUAGUGAAAAGGGAAUAGUAAGGAUGUUUAUCUUAAAAAAUGAUAUAUUCAUGUUUUUUUUUUUCAGGUGGAGGAAACACAUGUGUUAUUUCGUGGUAUGUAUUUUUCUUGGUGGGAGGUGGUGUUUGCUCUGCAGUAGUUGCCAGUGGUUAAUCCAUGUUUGGUUACUACAGUAUAUGUACAGUAGUUACAAUCCACACUUUAUAUCAGACCAAAAUCAGGUCGAAAACUGUUGUGCAGUGUUGGAUCAGCCACACUGCCAGAAUGUGUAGCACAGAGGUGUCGCUCACUGGUAUACCAUGUGUCUUGGAGUUCAGCUGUACAAAUGAAAAGAUAAUGUUAUUUAGAUUGCCUAACACGUGGCUGAAUACAAUUUUGGUCUAAUCCACACUUCUCACAGAAGAAUAAUGUGGUUUCAAACAGUUUAGUGAAUAUAAAAAAAAAAUCCCUAAGAAUUGAGGGAUGUACCGUAUGUAAGAAACCACAAAAAGCUUGUUAUAAAUACAGAGGAUUCCUAUAAAAUAUUACAUCAUGUAGCAUGUGAAACUGUCUGUACCUCAUUUUCUUUCCACUGUAUAAUUUUUCAAGAAGUUUGUCUAAAAAAUGUAGGGCAAUUGAGGGCUUCUCAAAAUGUACUUUUCUUGUCAUAUUAAUAUAAAUCAAUAUAAGUAUAAUACUUAAAG
rnacentral:lncRNA from 1 species